rnacentral:lncRNA from 1 species
AAUAAGAUAGAAAGAACUGUUGCUGAUCUGAUUUUAUUCUGCAUCCUGUUUAGAUUUGCUAUAUUUUUAUGGUGAAAAUAUAUACAUUUAGAAUUAGCCAGCUGGACUCAGUUUAGAUAAUCCCAGUUUUGUUUCUACCUCUUCUUUAAAAAAAAUUGAAUACCUAUUAAGUGUCAGACUGUAUUAAACGCCAGUACAUACACACUGACUUCAGUCCUUG